rnacentral:snRNA from 1 species
GUGCUCACUUCAGCAGCACAUAUACUAAAAAAUUGGAAUGAUACAGAGAAGAUUAGUAUGGCCCCUGCACAAGGAUAACAUGCAAAUUUGUGAAGCGUUCCAUAUUAAA